GCUCACUUUUAACAGCAGUAGCUUCUUCUGCUGGUGUAGAAAGAAUAUUUCCUUCCUUUGGACUAAUUUAUUCCAGAGUGAGAAAUCGUUUGGGGCAAGAAAAAGCAGGAAAGUUUGUUUUUCUUUUCCCGAUUAUGAACAAACAGGGAAAUGAAUGUGAAGAAGACUGAG